UUCCCAUUAGUUUCUAUGGACGAAAAGAGCAGAUACAGAUUAAAUGGUUUUCAAUGCAUUUCUAUGGGAAAUGCAGAUUCGACUUAAGAACUUUUCGACUUGAGAACUUCCUUCCAAUACGGAUUAAGUUCGUAAGUCGAGACCCCACUGUAUUUUUCGUGUGCAGGUCUGGAGCACCGAUCAACGGUUUACAGCACAGAUGGCUGAGUUUGUGGUUAAUAUCGGCUAAACCACAGAUAUCCUGUGUAUUUCGUUUCCUCUUGAAAUGUAACGCUUGCUAUUAAAUUAGAAUAACCCAGGGCGGGGGACCUGCUCAAAUGUAAUACUUAGAAAAACCAGCCCCUCUUGAACUCCUAUAGGUAGAAGACUCUGUAGUCAAGCCCCCUUACCUAAUUGUCUGCCAAUAGAUAUUUUUGUAACCUUAUUUCCUUGUGGUUAGAAGUAAUAAAAGUUCUUUGCAUUGUUUGAUCGGGGUCCCUCGUGUCUGGGGGACCCGAGUGGCCAUUCGAAAUAAACAGCGCUUGUUCUCUCUUGAGUCUGUGUAUGGUCAAAUCUCAUGCUUGCUGGUACAAGAGUGUUUUAACACUUCCAGAUUUCUUAUAUCUGGCUCACAGACUGCAGCAUGUAGAUGUACCAUGUACUCAAGAGCCAAUGACUAUUUAGAAUGUUCAUAUUUGUGAAAUUGAUAUUUUAUUCAAUAUUUCAUCCUGUUUCCAUAUGUCUGAUGAAGUGGAUGUGUCUAUGAAAGCUUACAUUAAAAUACAGCAAUUAGUCUUUAAGGCGCCACAUGCUUUUGUCCUUUUUUGUUUUGUUUCUUUGGAUUUUGUCUAAUAUGCCUGCACAGACUAACACAGCUACGUCUUCCAAACCUAUUUAGAUAAGGUUAUUGUUAGAAUGUUGCUUGUUAAUUGGCCCAUAUAAGCUAUAUGGCUUGUGCAAAAGGAAAGUAUGACAGACUUAGCAACAGGAAGAGUGUGCUUCCUGACUUGUUAUCCUCUUUUCCUGCGAAGCUGUUUUUACCAGUAAAAACAAACUUAUUUUCUUUAAGCAGCUUUGUUACUGCUUCUCUGCUUCACUGGGAGAAAGGCCCUUCAGCAUCCACUGUUUACAACGCUAGAACCUGCCAUUCCCAAGGUCUGAAAACUGCUGGCUUUGCAGAGAACAGAAUGCUCCCUGCUAAUCUUCACAGAGCACGGACAGAGUUCCUACUCCAGUCCUCUGAAGAUGCCGGCCACAGAGACUGGCGAAACGUCAGGAAGAACAACCUUCAGAACACGGCCAAAGAGCCCAAAAAACCCACAACAACUUCACAGAAUGCUUCUCCUGCUGCUCUUAGGACCAGUGAGCAGGGUUGGGAAGGAGGCAGCCUUUGUUUUCCCUCCCACAAGGGGACUUCCUCAGAGAUGCACACCUCUGCAAUCAGAUUUUAUACCUUAAGCCUUUGUUUACCUUCCACUGACCUGUCACAAAAUAAAGCACACCCAGUGCAACCUAUGCCAGUAAGGAAAAAUUGCAUGCUGUGACAAAUUGGUGUCCUUCAUCAUUUGGAGAAAUCAUCUCUACCAAAAAAAAAAAAAGUAACAAAAACCCUGUAAUAAAUAUAUCAUUUGGUGUGACCCA
rnacentral:lncRNA from 1 species